GACGAAGGAUCCAAGCGUUAUCCGGAUUCAUUGGGUUUAAAGGGUGCGUAGGCGGCCCAGUAAGUCAGUGGUGAAAUCUCCUCGCUUAACGAGGAAACUGCCAUUGAUACUGCAGGGCUUGAGUACAGAUGCUGUGGGCGGAAUAUGACAUGUAGUGGUGAAAUACAUAGAGAUGUCAUAGAACACCGAUUGCGAAGGCAGCUCACAAAACUGUAACUGACGCUGAGGCACGAAAGUGCGGGGAUCAAACAGG
rnacentral:rRNA from 1 species